GUGCUUGCUUCAGUAGCACACAUACUAAAAUCGGAACAAUACAGAGAAGAUUAGCAUGGCCCCUGCUCAGGGACAACAUGCAAUUUGAUGAAGCAUUCCACUGGAAG
rnacentral:snRNA from 1 species